GUUGUAUAGUCAAGUAAUUAAGUGCAUGUGGUGGAUGCCUUGGCAGUCAGAGGCGAUGAAAGACGUGAUAGCCUGCGAAAAGCUCCGGGGAGGCGGCAAAUAUCCUUUGAUCCGGAGAUGUCUGAAUGGGGGAACCCACCUACUUUAAGGUAGGUAUUGCAACAUGAAUACAUAGUGUUGCAAGGCGAACGAGGGGAAGUGAAACAUCUCAGUACCCUUAGGAAAAGAAAUCAAUUGAGAUUCCCUCAGUAGCGGCGAGCGAACGGGGAUCAGCCCAUUAAGUUAUGUGUGUUUUAGUGGAACGCUCUGGGAAGUGCGAACGUAGAGGGUGAUAUUCCCGUACACGAAAGGGCACACAUAAUGAUGACGAGUAGGGCGAGGCACGUGAAACCUUGUCUGAAUAUGGGGGGACCAUCCUCCAAGGCUAAAUACUCCUGACUGACCGAUAGUGAACCAGUACCGUGAGGGAAAGGCGAAAAGAACCCCUGUGAGGGGAGUGAAAUAGAUCCUGAAACCGCAUGCAUACAAGCAGUGGGAGCACCUUCGUGGUGUGACUGCGUACCUUUUGUAUAAUGGGUCAGCGACUUAUAUUCAGUAGCGAGGUUAACCGUAUAGGGGAGCCGUAGAGAAAUCGAGUCUUAAUAGGGCGUUUAGUUGCUGGGUAUAGACCCGAAACCAGGCGAUCUAUCCAUGAGCAGGUUGAAGGUUGGGUAACACUAACUGGAGGACCGAACCCACUGUCGUUGAAAAGCCAGGGGAUGACUUGUGGAUAGGGGUGAAAGGCUAAUCAAGCCUGGUGAUAGCUGGUUCUCCCCGAAAGCUAUUUAGGUAGCGCCUCGGACGAAUACCAUAGGGGGUAGAGCACUGUUUCGGCUAGGGGGUCAUCCCGACUUACCAAACCGAUGCAAACUCCGAAUACCUAUGAGUACUAUCCGGGAGACAGACUGCGGGUGCUAACGUCCGUAGUCAAGAGGAAAACAAUCCAGACCGCCAGCUAAGGCCCCAAAAUCAUAGUUAAGUGGGAAACGAUGUGGGAAGGCAUAGACAGCUAGGAGGUUGGCUUAGAAGCAGCCACCCUUUAAAGAAAGCGUAAUAGCUCACUAGUCGAGUCGGCCUGCGCGGAAGAUGUAACGGGGCUAAAACUAUGUGCCGAAGCUGCGGAUGUAUACUUUGUAUACGUGGUAGGGGAGCGUUCUGUAAGCCGAUGAAGGUGUGUUGAGAAGCAUGCUGGAGGUAUCAGAAGUGCGAAUGCUGACGUGAGUAACGACAAAACGGGUGAAAAACCCGUUCGCCGAAAGACCAAGGGUUCCAGUCCAACGUUAAUCGGGGCUGGGUGAGUCGACCCCUAAGGCGAGGCCGAAAGGCGUAGUCGAUGGGAAAAUGGUUAAUAUUCCAUUACUUCUGUGUAAUGCGAUGAGAGGACGGAGAAGGCUAAAUCAGCCUGGCGUUGGUUGUCCAGGUGAAAGGAUGUAGGCAUGUAUCUUAGGCAAAUCCGGGGUACUCUAUGCUGAGAUCUGAUAGCAAGCUGUACUUGUACAGCGAAGUGGUUGAUGCCAUGCUUCCAGGAAAAGUCUCUAAGCUUCAGUUACACAGGAAUCGUACCCGAAACCGACACAGGUGGUCAGGUCGAGUAGACCAAGGCGCUUGAGAGAACUCUGCUGAAGGAACUAGGCAAAAUGGUACCGUAACUUCGGGAGAAGGUACGCUGUUGUUGGUGAUGGAACUUGCUUCCUGAGCUGACGACAGCCGCAGAAACCAGGCCGCUGCAACUGUUUAUUAAAAACAUAGCACUCUGCAAACACGAAAGUGGACGUAUAGGGUGUGAUGCCUGCCCGGUGCUGGAAGGUUAAUUGAUGGGGUUAGCGUAAGCGAAGCUCUUGAUCGAAGCCCCAGUAAACGGCGGCCGUAACUAUAACGGUCCUAAGGUAGCGAAAUUCCUUGUCGGGUAAGUUCCGACCUGCACGAAUGGCAUAAUGAUGGCGGCGCUGUCUCCAGCAGAGGCUCAGUGAAAUCGAAAUCGCUGUGAAGAUGCAGUGUACCCGCGGCUAGACGGAAAGACCCCGUGAACCUUUACUGCAGCUUGACACUGAACUUUGACCUUACUUGUGUAGGAUAGGUGGGAGGCUUUGAAGCUGGAACGCUAGUUCCAGUGGAGCCGUCCUUGAAAUACCACCCUGGUAAUGUUGAGGUUCUAACUCUGUCCCGUGAUCCGGGACGAGGACCGUGUCUGGUGGGUAGUUUGACUGGGGCGGUCUCCUCCUAAAGAGUAACGGAGGAGUACGAAGGUGCGCUCAGCGUGGUCGGAAAUCACGCGUAGAGUAUAAAGGCAAAAGCGCGCUUAACUGCGAGACCCACAAGUCGAGCAGGUACGAAAGUAGGUCUUAGUGAUCCGGUGGUUCUGUAUGGAAGGGCCAUCGCUCAACGGAUAAAAGGUACUCUGGGGAUAACAGGCUGAUACCGCCCAAGAGUUCAUAUCGACGGCGGUGUUUGGCACCUCGAUGUCGGCUCAUCUCAUCCUGGGGCUGAAGCAGGUCCCAAGGGUAUGGCUGUUCGCCAUUUAAAGAGGUACGCGAGCUGGGUUUAGAACGUCGUGAGACAGUUCGGUCCCUAUCUACCGUGGGCGCUGGAAAUUUGAGAGGAUCUGCUCCUAGUACGAGAGGACCAGAGUGGACGAACCUCUGGUGUACCGGUUGUGACGCCAGUCGCAUCGCCGGGUAGCUAUGUUCGGAAGGGAUAACCGCUGAAAGCAUCUAAGCGGGAAGCCUACCUCAAGAUAAGAUUUCCCUAGGACUUUAUGUCCUCUAAAGAGCCGUUCGAGACUAGGACGUUGAUAGGUUGGAUGUGGAAGCAUAGUGAUAUGUGAAGCUGACCAAUACUAAUUGCUCGUGAGGCUUGACUAUACAACACCCAAGCAGUUG
rnacentral:rRNA from 1 species